rnacentral:rRNA from 1 species
AGCAGCCGCGGUAAUUCCAGCUCCAAUAGCGUAUAUUAAAGUUGUUGCAGUUAAAAAAGCUCGUAGUUGAAUUUCGGGAUCAGUAGGUCGGUCGUGCCACUGGUAUGAACUGGUCUCACUGGUUCCUCCCUCUUGACGAACUGCAAUGCUAUUAAUUUAGUGUAGUAGGAAAUCAGGACUGUUAACUUUGAAAAAAUUGAGUGUUUAAAGCAGGCUUUGGCUUGAAUACAUUAGCAUGGAAUAAUGAAAUAGGACGUUCGAUCCUAUUUUGUUGGCUUCUAGGAUUGACGUAAUGAUUAAUAGGGACAGUUAGGGGGCAUUAGUAUUCAAUUGUCAGAGGUGAAAUUCUUGGAUUUAUUGAAGACUAACUACUGCGAAAGCAUUUGCCAAGGAUGUUUUCAUUAAUCAAGAACGAAAGUUAGGGGAUCGAAGACGAUCAGAUACCGUCGUAGUCUUAACCAUAAACUAUAGCCGACUAGGGAUCGGAUGAUGUUAAUUUUUAAUGA